ACUUAUAAGACUUCAGCUAUCGUGACAUCGUGUUCCUGAAGGUAAACGUCGACGUCAACAAGGAGACGGCUACCGCGUGCAACGUCACCUUCCUGCCCACCUUUAAAUUCUACAGGAGGAAGAGAGAGGUUGAUCAACUUGAAGGCGCAGACCAAUCAGAACUUGUAACAAAGAUACAGAAACAUAUGUGAUCUAUUCAUGAGACGUUUAACUCCUUUGGUCACCUUUGGAAACAUCAUGAGAAGACAGCAUCAAACAAUUGAAGCUCCGGUGUUAAAAGCAUGUUACCUCGUUGUUGGACGAUAUCAGCGAUGUAGAUCAUUUUCAGAUUCCAAAGGGACCUUCCCGUGCAGGAACAUGCAAGAGACAAUA